UUAUUUUUCCUCCUUAUAGUUAAAUCCUCACAAAAAACGAUUAAACCUUAAUUUAUUCCUCAUAAUCUCUCAAACCCUAGCCGUCUUUCUCUAUUGAAAAAUACUAAAAUUCUCUCGUCCAAUUUCGUCAUCUUCUCUGCAUCACAUCGAAUUGAGAAUUGUUUCCUCGCUCCUGUAGUAGACAUCAUCCUCUUCAAUCCCAAAGCUUCCGAAUCAAUUUCAACUCGUCGAUUGUUCGUGCUUCAGAGGCGAACCAGGACUAGUUGCCUGGCAGGUUAUCACGUGGAUUAGCAAGUUGUGAGUUUGUACUUACUAUUUACCGCUUUAUUAAGUAAAUUGUUAUUUUAAUAUUAAAUAUAUAUAUUGUACGUAUAUUUCGAACUGUUUUUAUAUUAUGGCUCUUAGUUGGAACAUGCUACCUAAUGAGCAUCAUUAGGACUGCGUGCGCACCGUUAAUGAUCUGGGUAAGGUAUUUAUGAAAAUAUGGUAACCCGGUGUGAGCAUAGCUCUCGGGACCAAAUAGAGUAACUCGGUGUAGCACAGCUCUCGGAUAUGGCAAAAAUGUGGUCAGUGGUAAUUCGGUGUAGCUCAGCUCUCGGGACCAGGCCUAUUGGAUUAUGUUUAUUAUUUAGAAUUGUGGAUUAGGGUUCCAACUAUUAAUCGUAAUAUCGUUAUUAAAUGUUUUAAACAGUUUUAAAGGUUUUCCAGUUGAUAAAUGUAAAUAGUGGUAUAAACUCAUCUCAGUAUAUCUACCCCCGUUGUUUUCCCAAUUUUUCCCAGGGUUAUGAUUUGAGAGAGUUUGCUGAUCUCCGUUCUUUACUUUUCUCGGAGGUUUUAUUAUUUUGAUAAACUGUAAAACUAUUUUAUUCUUAGACCGCAGUAGUAACUAGACGUCUUUAUUAUUAUUACAGUUAUUUGUCGGAUUGGUCCGACUAGUUAUAUUGGUUUGGCAUGUUACAUUAGUUACACUGGUUUAUGUUAUGCCUAUUUUAGACUCAAAAUUGGAUAAGCAUGUUAUAUUAACUGAUGAAUAUUAUAACUGCUAGAAUUAGGCUGAAGUCUCGGCUGCCCCCGAGCAUUGGUUUUCUGCAGGUUUAAUUGAAUUGUAUGAUACAAUAAAGGCUAGCUACGGGUGUUGGUACUACAUUACCCAUGCCCUAGCGCCAGUCACGAUUCAUGAAAAUGGGUCGUGACAUGUGUUUUAUCAAAUUUACCAGAAGCUGGAAAUCCUUAGAAAAGAGCUUAAGGCUCUGAAUAAGAAGGAUUUUAGUGAUAUUUCUGUGAGAGUAGAUAAAGUCAGGGAUAUGCUUACUAGAUUACAAGGAGAUAUUCAGUCCCUUUUAAUAUUGACUUCCAAGAUGAAGAGAGAGCCAUUUCUAAGUAUUUCUACAAAAUGCUAAGUUGGGAAGAGAGUAUUUUAAGGCAAAAAUCCAGAAUGAUGUGGAUUAAAUUAGGAGACCAGAACUUUGAAUUAUUUUACAGAAUCAUUAAGCAAAGAUAGAACAAGAAGAGAAUUGUUAUGAUUAACAGUGCUGAAGGAGUAGCUAUUAAUGACCCUGAGCAAAUUAAAGAGGUGAUUCUUAAUCAUUAUACGAGUUUCCUUAGCUUUUCCAUGAGGGACAGAAGAAGUGUGGAUCCUAAUGUUUUCAAAGCUGGUUAUUUGCUGAAUGAGGAUGACAAAGCCAGUUUGGAUAUUACUUUCAAUGAUGAUGAGAUUAGAGCUGCUCUUUUCUGUAUUAAUGAUGAUAAGGCUCCAGGGCCUGAUGGGUUAGGGAGUGCCUUCUUUAAAAAAGGCUGAAGUAUCUUGGGUAAAGACAUUAUCCAGGCUUCCAAAGACUUUCAGAAUUCUGGUAAGAUGCUCAACCAGCUUAAUUCUAUUGCUAUUUCUUUAAUUCCUAAGAUAUAGUCUCCUAUGAAUGUUAGUGAUUAUAGACCCAUCUCUUGUUGGAAUGCGAUGUACAAAACUAUCUAUAAAGUCAUUUGUAAGAGGCUUAGCAAGAUCCUAGGGAAAAUUAUUAGUCCUAGUCAGUCUGUUUUUGUCCUUGGUAGAAACAUUUCUGAUAAUAUCCUGUUAUCUCAUGAGCUUGUUGGGAAUUACUAUAGGAAUAACUAGGGUCAUUCUUGUGCCCUGAAAAUUGAUUUACAGAAAACAUAUGAUUCCUUAAAGUGGGAUUUUAUUGAGGAGAAUUUGAUUGGUCUAAGAUUCCCUAGGAAGUUCAUUAUGAUUGUUAUGUCCUGUAUUAAGUCUGUGAAGUAUUCUGUGCAGAUUAAUGGUGAAGUUUAUGGGUUCUUUCCUAGGGGCAAGGUACUUAGACAUGAAGACCCUAUCUCUCCCAUGAUUUUUGUGUUGUGUAUGGACUAUCUGUCCAUGUCCUUUGUUAUUAACGCUAAUAGGGGGUCUGGGUUCAA